CCUCCUCCUGCUCUUCCCCCUCCCCAAACUCCCCCCGCUCCGCCCGGCUCUCCGCGCAGCCGUGGGAUCUCGGAGGAGGGCGUCCAUUAGGCCGCGUGUGACCAUGUAAGGGCCCGCCCGUUGUUUGCUUGACCUUACGCGGUUAGUGUCGUUCAGGGUUCCCCCAAAUGCGCCGUGCGCUGAGCUUCCAUUGCUGGAAGGACUGCAGAGUCCGAUGAGAGACUUCCCUGUGCCCGUCGUCGCGAGAGCAGCGACAUCCACCCUAAUCGCCCUCCUCGGCUUCCCGCUCCUGACUCUGUGGGACUCCGCCUCGUGAUAUUUGCGAAAUUCUGCUUUCUAGAAGGAGCACGAUUCGAAAUUCAGUACUUCGCCCGGGGAAAUUAAACAGGAAUUACUGGGUCUGGGGAGAGCCCAGUUUCUCUACUUGGCGACGUCUGGAAUUCUGUGGGUCAGACCUACAGCGUCCACUGUGGGAGUGCAGCUGGCACGUUGGCUGGCGUUUAUGUGCACGGGACGUGCGGAGAUGUUUAGUGUUAUGUAGACACAUCUGUGGUGCUAGGGGAUGAAUGACAUGACAAAGUUAAACGUCGUACCUGAAUCAGGGGACAUCCGGCUACCACACGCGUGUGUUUGCACCAGGAUGAGGAGGCCUCUCUUUGAAAGGCCAGGUGGGCCUUUCCCAGAAGUAGGAAACCGCUUAGGGCCAUCACAUCCCAACUAAUGCCUUAACUUGAUCCUUAGGGUCGCUGGUGCUGCUGCUUACUGGUCGCUUACUGGUGUGGCUUUGAGCUCAGGGGCCCAGACCUUCUAAUUACCGCCUCAGAAACAGAGAGAGUGGGCUCUGCCUUGCGGGGUGGUUAUGAGGACUGCAAGUAACGUCUGUAACUCACCUGCCAUAGCAUAUGGGGCUAUUAGGUGGAUACUAAAUGUUGAGCCAUUAUCAUCUCCCGGUGAUAACUGAGUCAACUAAAUAAUAUAUCUGAACUAAUCAGACCCAUGGGGGGACAUACCAGAUUCUUGGAGAAAGAGGAGAGAGAGAGAAGCCUCUUGCCAAUUUGUAAUAAGUAUUACAAAUGUGUUUCUCGCGUGUGGGGGGAUACGGAAGAGGCCUUGGGAAAGCGCAAGUUCUUUUUUUUUUUUUUAAAUAAUAAAUUUAUUCUUUAUUGGUGUUCAAAUUGCCAACAUACAAAAUAACACCCAGUGCUCAUCCCGUCAAGUGCCCCCCUCAGUGCCCGUCACCCAUUCACCCCCACCCCCCACCCUCCUCCCCUUCCACCACCCCUAGUUCGUUUCCCAGAGUUAGGAGUCUUCAUGUUCUGCAAGUUCUUGAGUGAACAGAGGAAGUAAAGGAACUGAGACAUAGGGAACUCAAGAGGCAAAACACUAGGCAAAGCCAAAGCAUAUAAUUUGAUGUGUGAACUCAAGUGAACUUGAUUUCUGUUUUUUUGUGUUACACCAUUGCUAUUUUUGAGCGAAAUAUGACAUUUUUGUUAACUUGGGUUUGAAGAUUUUACAGAUAAUAGUGAACUAGUUAAACACUUUGAGUGUACCAGGCUGUGUGGGCACAUAAGCCCAUACAGUGGGCUUUUAUUAUAUACAGUGUCUCAUUUCAUCCUCACAACAACGUGAGGCAGGGACUUUUGUUAUAUCCAACUUUAUGGAUGACGGUAUGCAAGCUUAGAAAUAUUGGGUUGGUCAAGGUCCUACAACUAGGAAGCAGCUGAGGAGGGGCUCAAAUGUAGGAACGUCUGACUUUCAAGACUGCUUUGCAUGGGGGUCUCGGUGUAGUGAAAAACUUUUAAGUUUCUUGGGUUUUGUUUUUGUUUUUAUAUAUAUAUUUAUUUAUUCAUAAGAGACACACACACACAGAGGCAGAGACACAGGCAGAGGGAGAAGCAGGCUCCAUGCAGGGAGCUGGACGGGGGACUCUAUCCUGGGUCUCCGGGAUCAGGCCCUGGCCUAAAGGCAGUGCUAAACCGCUGAGCCACCUAGGCUGCCCAAGUUUCUUGUUUUAAGUCAAGAUUUGUUUACAAAAAUGCUUGGGUGUAGAGAAGGGGGGGCUUCCUUUGAGGUUUUUGUCCAUGUAAUAUCAGUCAUCCAACUUCCAGAAGAACUUAACCAAAAUCUUACAAUAUAAAUCCUGAAGAUCUCAUUAUGACUUUUUUCAAAGUUUUGUAGAAUAUUUUAGAAUUCAUGCUAAGAAAUUUAUGCAGUGAGGCACUUCUAAAGGCCCAUUAUCAAUAUCAGUCAUACUUAGCUACUUUUUAUAGCCUAGAGACCCUACGUUUGUUCACAUUGCAAAACACACACAAAGAACCUGAAUGUACAAAAUAAUCAACAAAUUAAGAUCACCGGAAACUUCGGCAGUCACACAAACCAAAAAUAAACAGCACGGCUCUAAGCACCAUAUAUUGAAUGCCUUCUCUAUACCUGGCAUUUUAUAGAUGUUCUCAUCUGGUCUUCACCACAGUCUUGUGACAGAGCUAUCAUGACUCCAUUUUCACAGAUGAAGGUAUCAAAGUUCAGAGAGAGAACACAAUUUACCCAUUAUCAUAUGUCUGUUAAGUGGCAGAAGCAGAUUCAAAUAUAGGUCUGAAUCCAAGAUGACUCCAAAGUCUGUGUCCUCCGCAUAUAUUAUCUUAUGAGACACUUAUACUAUUUUUAAUAAUAUCACCCUUUAGAAGUUAUCCUAUAGGAAACACCAAAGAGUAAAUAAUGUUAACCAGGAAACACCAAAGAGUAAAUCAUGUUAACCGCCCCCUCCCCAUGCCACCAAAACUAAGAAAUGAAACUAUUUUAUGAACAGCAUUUUAUGAAAAUGUAAUAUGUAAAUAGACACAACCAAGACAUCAGAGUGUUUCUACUAGAAAAGUCUGAUUCAUUAGUACAGGAAGUCCUUAUUAGCACUGUGUGAUUAGCACUGGUAAAACCUCCUUAAAAUAAAUCUACUUAAAGCAGAGACCAAAUUUCAGAGCAAUUGGUGAAAACUGGGCUUUACUUGAAAAUAAAAGUCAAUGUCGUUAAAAUGCAUUUAGUCUAUCUUUUAUGGAACAAGAUUUAUGUUGUAAGUACAAUUAUGUGUAAUUAUGGAAUGAAUAAACAAUAAAUCAA